rnacentral:rRNA from 1 species
UACGAAGGGGGCUAGCGUUGUUCGGAAUUACUGGGCGUAAAGGGCGCGCAGGCGGCUCAGACAGUCAGAUGUGAAAGCCCCGGGCUUAACCUGGGAACUGCAUUUGAUACUACUGAGCUUGAGUACGGGAGAGGAUAGUGGAAUUCCCAGUGUAGAGGUGAAAUUCGUAGAUAUUGGGAAGAACACCGGUGGCGAAGGCGGCUAUCUGGACCGUAACUGACGCUGAGGCGCGAAAGCGUGGGGAGCAAACAGG